rnacentral:rRNA from 1 species
UACGGAGGGAGCUAGCGUUGUUCGGAAUUACUGGGCGUAAAGCGCACGUAGGCGGCUUUGUAAGUUAGAGGUGAAAGCCUGGAGCUCAACUCCAGAAUUGCCUUUAAGACUGCAUCGCUUGAAUCCGGGAGAGGUGAGUGGAAUUCCGAGUGUAGAGGUGAAAUUCGUAGAUAUUCGGAAGAACACCAGUGGCGAAGGCGGCUCACUGGACCGGUAUUGACGCUGAGGUGCGAAAGCGUGGGGAGCAAACAGG